GACGGAGGGUGUGAGCGUUAUUCGGAUUCACUGGGUUUAAAGGGUGCGUAGGCGGCUUGGUAAGUCAGUGGUGAAAACUAGCAGCUUAACUGUUAGCGUGCUACUGAUACUGCCAGGCUUGAGUAUAGUAGAGGUGGGCGGAAUUCUACAUGUAGCGGUGAAAUGCAUAGAUAUGUAGAGGAACACCGAUAACGAGGGUAGCUCACUGGGCUAUUACUGACGCUGAGGCACGAAAGCGUGGGGAGCGAGCAGG
rnacentral:rRNA from 1 species